GCAGAGUCGAUUCACACCAGUGAAGAUGUGAUAGAUAGUAUUGCUGUUUAGUCGCCUUGAGGUGGUACGGUCCUGUGUAUCAAUACGGGGCGCAUCCGCCACCCACUUCGCUGCCAUGAUUGCCGUCAUUAAUGGAAGAAUAUAUUUUACGGAUCCUGUCAGCUCAAACAUGAUUACGACGAGAGAAACUGAAGCAAACCAAAACCAAGUCUUCGAUAACUUAUGAAACUUGCGUAUCAAGCUUACCGGUCAUCCUCGUAACUCCGCCUAAACAUGCGGCCGCUCCGAC